AUAAGACAGGCCUGGGUAGCCCUACCACAGAGGUGAGGCUGAAGAAGGGGCUAGGUCCACCAUGGUCUUGACUCCUCUCUUCCUCUUGCUUUUCUCUCAAUGUACAGGUUCCCUGUCUCAGCCUGUGCUGACUCAGCCACCAUACAUCUCUGCAUCCCUGGGAUCAACAGCCAAACUCACCUGCACCCUGAGCAGUGACCUCAGUGUUAGUGGUAAAAACAUGUAUUGGUACCAGCAGAAGCCAGGGAGCCCUCCCCAGCUCUACCUGUACUACUACUCAGACUCAGACAAGAAGCUGGGGCCAGGGGUCCCCAAUAGAUUCUCUGGAUCUAAAGAUGCUUCAACCAACACUGCAUUUUUGCACAUUUCUGGGCUCCAGCCUGAGGAUGAGGCCAAUUACUACUGUCAGGUGUAUGAAAGCAGUGCUACCAAAGUGGUACAGACAGAUGAGGAAGUGGGACAAAAACCCUCAACCACUGAAAUUCUAAGCUUAUGUCAAUUUUACUAG